rnacentral:rRNA from 1 species
CCCGGGUCUUGUACACACCGCCCGUCACACCACGGGAGUGGGUUCUGCCAGAAGUAGUUAGCCUAACCGCAAGGAGGGCGAUUACCACGGCAGGGUUCGUGACUGGGGUG